GGCCACCAAAUUCUUGCAUGAAAUUAUUACUCCUAUAAAGUUAUGGGCAUUUGGGCCCUCCCCUCUUGGUCUUCCAGUUGUUGUAGCAAGGGCAAACUUGCUUGUUACCAUAUGUGCCAGGAGGGACACACAGGCAUUUCGCACAACAUUUCUGGCAGAAGAACAUGCAUGGUUUCUUGUAAGCUGUCUUGGAACAUCUAGUAUCGCAUCGAGGUCCACAUUCUGCAUCAUUGGAUAAAAUGUAAUGAGGAAAAAAAAAAAAGAUUCUAAUAGUUACCAAGGAAAAGAAUACAUUGGAAUACAUAUGCAUGUAGCCAUAUAAAAUUUUCAAUUCUUAGGUCAAAAAGUUGCUUUUGUUUUAAUUUCUUUAGUUUCUUCUUUGCAAGUAGUUCUAGGAAAUAAGGUCAUGGAUUUUGAGCUAUAUAUGCAUUACACUAGAUUAUUUUAAUUAUAAAAACAAUCAAAAUCAGUUUUCAUGUCAAGUAAUCUAAAUUUGUGUUACAUUAAAGUACUAAGAUCAAAUUUAAGAUUUUUCAAGAUAAUAAAUUGCCUUUUCAUUCUAGGAGUCAAACUAGUGUAAUAAAUUGAAAGCCCGUCACUUGUCAUGGAGUUGGUGCUUGAGUUACAUACCUAAGUUGCUAGACAUUUUCUCUUUUAUGGUAUACAAGGAUCAUGCUCUGCAUUUUUAGUAUUUGGUCUAGAAUUCAUAGUUAAUUUUGUUCGGUUGCAUAUUUUUCCCAAUCCACCCAUUUUUUUGAUUCCCUCAAAAACAGUAAGCUCACUAUUCCCUUUUUGUCUUUCUUUUAAUGGGGCCAUUCAGAACCCAACUUUAUUGUAAUACACUUUUGUUGAGCCCCAAAGAUGAAAGAACAACUGGUAAGAAUUCCAAGCAUAAAACAAUCCACUGACAAUUUGCUGAUUAUAAUGAAUACUCUUAGUUAACCCACCUUGGGGCGAAGACUUCCUUCAGUGAUUCCAUAUUGCUGCAAAAGAAUGAGAAUUUUGUUAAUAGAAAAUUGUGACGCAUGCUAUAUCAUAUGCUAAUGUGAUGCAUUAAAUCUCGUAUGAGUCUAUGAUACACAAAUUAAUUGUGUAAAAUACUGCAAAAUAAGGUAAAAUAUGCUCAAAGUCGCACAAAGUAUGC
rnacentral:lncRNA from 1 species